rnacentral:rRNA from 1 species
CCUACGGGAGGCAGCAGUGGGGCAUAUUGCACAAUGGGCGCAAGCCUGAUGCAGCGACGCCGCGUGAGCGAAGAAGUAUUUCGGUAUGUAAAGCUCUAUCAGCAGGGAAGAAACUCACGUUACCUGACUAAGAAACUCCAGCUAAAUACGUGCCAGCAGCCGCGGUCAUACGUAGGGCGCAGGCGUUAUCCGGAUUUACUGGGUGUAAAGGGAGCGUAGGCGGCCCUGUAAGUCUGGUGUGAAAAUUUGGUGCGCAACCCCAAACGUGCUUUGGAAACUGCAGGGCUGGAGUGCAGGAGAGGUAAGUGGAAUUCCUAGUGUAGCGGUGAAAUGCGUAGAUAUUAGGAGGAACACCAGUGGCGAAGGCGGCCUGCUGGACGGUAACUGACGCUGAGGCUCGAAAGCGUGGGGAGCAAACAGGAUUAGAUACCCUUGUAGUC